rnacentral:rRNA from 1 species
AGUGAACGCUGGCGGUAGGCCUAACACAUGCAAGUCGAACGGCAGCACAGUAAGAGCUUGCUCUUACGGGUGGCGAGUGGCGGACGGGUGAGGAAUACAUCGGAAUCUUCUUUUUCGUGGGGGAUAACGUAGGGAAACUUACGCUAAUACCGCAUACGACCUACGGGUGAAAGCAGGGGAUCUUCGGACCUUGCGCGAUUGAAUGAGCCGAUGUCGGAUUAGCUAGUUGGCGGGGUAAAGGCCCACCAAGGCGACGAUCCGUAGCUGGUCUGAGAGGAUGAUCAGCCACACUGGAACUGAGGCACGGUCCAGACUCCUACGGGAGGCAGCAGUGGGGAAUAUUGGACAAUGGGCGCAAGCCUGAUCCAGCCAUACCGCGUGGGUGAAGAAGGCCUUCGGGUUGUAAAGCCCUUUUGUUGGGAAAGAAAAGCAGCAGGUUAAUACCCCGCUGUUCUGACGGUACCCAAAGAAUAAGCACCGGCUAACUUCGUG